rnacentral:rRNA from 1 species
CUACGGGAGGCAGCAGUGGGGAAUCUUGCGCAAUGGGCGAAAGCCUGACGCAGCGAUGCCGCGUGCGGGAUGAAGGCCUUAGGGUUGUAAACCUCUUUCAGAUGGGACGAAGGUUGUCCGGUGAAUAGCCGUGAUGAUUGACGGUACCGUCAGAAGAAGCUCCGGCUAACUACGUGCAGCAGCCGCGGUAAUACGUAGGGAGCGAGCGUUGUCCGGAAUCAUUGGGCGUAAAGAGCGCGUAGGUGGAUCAAUUAGUCUGCUGUGAAAGUCGAAGGCUCAACCUUCGAAAGCCGGUGGAUACUGUUGAUCUAGAGUACGGAAGAGGCGAGUGGAAUUCCUGGUGUAGCGGUGGAAUGCGCAGAUAUCAGGAGGAACACCAAUAGCGAAGGCAGCUCGCUGGGACGUAACUGACACUGAGGCGCGAAAGCGUGGGUAGCAAACAGGAUUAGAUACCCGUGUAGUCC